UACGGAGGUCUCGAGCGUUGCUCGGAUUCACUGGGCGUAAAGGGCGCCUAGGCGGGGCUGCAAGUCGGGUAUGAAAUCCCCUUGGCUCAACCAGGGAACUGUGCCCGAUACUGUGGCUCUAGAGUGCAGCAGAGGAGAGUGGAACUCCUGGUGGAGCGGUGAAAUGCGUAGAUAUCAGGAGGAACGCCGGAGGCGAAAGCGAUUCUCUGGGCUGCUACUGACGCUGACGCGCGAAAGCUAGGGGAGCAAACGGG
rnacentral:rRNA from 1 species